rnacentral:rRNA from 1 species
AUGAGCGAGGAGUCCCGGUGCACCUUUCUGGUGCCCUUGGAUAAGAGCUGCCUCUCCACGGCCGAGAAGAUCAAGGCGGACCUCGAGGGUAGCGACGUCGGCGCCAAGGUCGACGCCCUGAAGCGCGCCAUCAUGCUCCUCCUCAACGGCUACACGAUCCCGCACCUCCUUGCCACCGUCGUCCGCUACGUUGUCCCCUCCGAGGAACACGUCAUCCAAAGGCUCCUCCUCCUCUACCUCGAGGUCGUCGACAAACGGGACGGAGCCUCCGGCAAGGUCAGCCCGGAGAUGAUCCUCAUCUCCCACAUCCUCCGCAACAACCUCCAACACCCCAAUGAGUACAUCCGCGGCGUCACACUGCGGUUCCUUUGUCGGCUCAACGAGCCGGAGCUGCUCGAGCCUCUUGUGCCUGCCGUUCUUGCCAACCUCAAGCACCAGCACCCUUUCGUCCGCCGACAUGUGUUCUCUGCCAUCUCAGCGAUCUACCGCCUGCGUGAUGGCAAGCAGCUCCUCCCAGAUGCGUCUUACAUUGUGGGACGUGCUCUCGUCAUCGAGCAGGACCCAACUGCACGGAGGAACGCGUUCCUCAGUCUCUGCGACUGCUCCCAGGUUCAGGCCAUCUUCUACUUGCUCAGCAAUGCUGUCGGCUUCACCGAGUGGCCUGACCCCCUCCAGAUGGCCGCCCUUGAUUUCUUCCGCAAAGUCUGUGUCAACCACCCUCACAAGAACCAUCACAGACGCCUUUUCUGUCGCAGGUAUAUUGAGGUCAUCAGCUCCCUCCUCUCUACUGGCUCAACUGCUGUUGUGUAUCACUGCGCGUGCACGCUGUUGUCUGUGUCCCAUACACCGACCUUGAUCAACGCUGCUGCAAAAACCUACUGCCAGUUGCUCAAUUCACAACGUGACAGCAAUGUGAAGCUCAUUAUAUUGGACCGCCUGCACGAGCUGCACAUCUCGCACCGUUACAUGAUGGUCAAUUUUGUCAUGGACAUUCUGCGCGAACUCGCUAGCCCUGAUCUGGUUGUCAAGAAGAAAGUUCUGGAUUUGGUGCUUGGUUUGCUCACCCCACAAAAUGUGGGGGACGUGGUGUUUGCCCUGAAGGAGGAGGUCUAUGAAUUAAUGUACAGUCUGCUGGAGUUUGCCAAUGAGUACUACCAGAUGCUACUGCAGGCGAUCCAUGCCUGUGCCGUGGUAUACCCAAAAGUGGCUGGACCAGUGGUGCACCUCCUCUUGGGCUUCCUUGGUUAUGGUGAUGUUGCUUCAGCAUCUGAUGUUGUUCUGUUUAUGCGUGAGGUCAUCGAGACCAAACCUUUCAUGCGUUUCUCCAUUAUACAUGAGCUGAUUGGUACAUUAUAUAAGAUCAAGGAUUCCUUCAUCUGUUCGUGUGCUCUCUGGAUCCUUGGGGAGUACUCGCUUUCGCUAUUUGAGGUCGAGAAAGCCAUUUCUACUAUUAAGGAGUCACUUGGAGAUCAGCCCUUCUAUGCUGUCUCCGAGGAAAGCGAGUCAAUUGAUUCAUCCAAGCCAGACCAUCCAGCCAUGGACUCAUCUACUCUAUUUUCUAAAAGACUACUUGUCGCUCUUCUAAAUGACACUUGUGCCACACAGAGUGCUGCGACCGAUGAUUCCAUUUUUAAUCCUGCUCUUACUAGUGGGUUGUUUGAUUCCAGGCAUAAUCUCAGAUUUCUCAUUAUGUCGGGUGAUUUUCACUUGGCUGCUGUUGUUGCAUGUACGUUGGCCAAGCUUGUGUUGAGGCUGGAGGAGGUUCAGCCAUCUAAGGUGGUAACAAACAAUGCAUCGGCGGAGUCCUUGCUGAUCAUGGUGUCUAUACUGCAGCUGGGGAAGUGCUCUUACCUUCCCCACCCUAUUGACAGCGACUCAUAUGACAGGAUUGUGUUUUGUAUUAGGUUGCUUUGUAGCACUGAUGAUCAUGCAAGGAAGGUCUGGUUGCUGUCAUGCCGCCAGAGCUUCACAAAGAUGGUCAUUGCUGAGAAGCAGUUCAUGAAGAAUGAGAAGAUGAAGGUCAAGGCACAUAAUGCCUAUGCACAUCCUGAUGAUUCCAUUGAUUUCUACCACCUGAGGAGCAGGAGGGAACUGGACCAACUUGAGUUGGAAGAUGAGGUCCGAGGUGAUUUAAUGGCUGCAACUGGUGAAGUUAUGAAGGGCACAUAUGAUGCAAAUAAACUGAAACGCCUUGUUCAGUUGACAGGGUUCAGUGAUCCUGUGUAUGCUGAAGGAUUAGUUACCUUAAAUCGAUAUUAUGAUAUUGUGCUUGAUGUUACAGUCAUAAACCGAACUGAAGAAACACUGCACAAUUUGUGCGUGGAGUUUGCAACAGCGAGUAAAACUGCGAUAGUUGAGCGCACUAAGAAGUACACUGUGGCUCCUGAGGCAUGCGAGCAAAUCCAGGCUAACAUUAAGAUGUCCUCAACGAACGUUGGAAUUAUAGUUGGUCGCAUUGUUUAUGAGACUUCAGAUGCAAUGGAGCUUUCAGAGGUGAUCCUAAAAGAUAUGAUCAUUAACAUCGCAGAUUACAUGACAGCUGCUACAUGUAGUGAUGUAGGUUUCCGGAAAAUGUGGGCUGAGUGUUGGUGCAAAAUUAAGUUGAAGGUCAACACGGUGCUUCAUGAUGAGAAUGAAUUUGUGAAUUUCAUAAUCAAGUCCACAAACAUGACAUGUCUAACACCACUGCUCGGCUCAGCGUCAAGGGAUGACGCUCUUGCGUCCGCGACGCUCGGAUCUCCGUCCUCCGUUGCGGCCGCCGUGACUGGAUCUGGGUACCCCGCGGAGCCCUCUCCCACACCAGUGUUGAUGGCGCCCUUUCUCCUGGUUCGCCCGGCAAUGCUGCUCGUCCGAUCCUCGAGUAAAACACUGCAAGGAGAUUCGUAUUCAGUCUAG